GUGCUUGUUUGACUUGACAGCACAUAUACCAAAAUUGGAAUGAUACAGAGAUUAACAUGGCCCCUGUUUUAGGAUGACACACAAAUUUGUGAAGUAUUCCAUAUUGAA